UACGGGGGGGGCAAGCGUUGUUCGGAUUUACUGGGCGUAAAGGGCGCGUAGGCGGCCACCGCAAGUCGGUUGUGAAAUCUCCGGGCUUAACCCGGAAAGGUCAAUCGAUACUGCGGGGCUAGAGUGCAGAAGGGGCAACUGGAAUUCUCGGUGUAGCGGUGAAAUGCGUAGAUAUCGAGAGGAACACCUGCGGCGAAGGCGGGUUGCUGGGCUGACACUGACGCUGAAGCGCGAAAGCUAGGGGAGCGAACGGG
rnacentral:rRNA from 1 species